GGGAAAUCGAUCUAAAAAGCAGCUGAUCUGAUAACAGCGGAACUCCGCUCUAUGGUUUCGGCCAGGAUGCGCUCGUCGCGGAAAAACUGUGAGAAUUCUUACAAGACUGCAACAAAAGAGGCAAAGUUGGAUUCUUUAGAAAGAUAAUGAUGCGCAGAUCGGGUCCUGGUUCCUUUUAGGUCGCCGGGAAAUCGAUCUGAAAGCUGGCAGAUUGGAUGUUGACGGAUAUGUGGUCUGAUAACUACGCAUGCUUGAGAGAAACGCCUAUAACUCCCGGAAGACA